rfam:Triticum urartu cultivar G1812 contig1156306, whole genome shotgun sequence.
GUACUACUCCCUCCAUGCCAAAAUUCUUAUCUUAAAUUUGUCUAAAUACAGAUGUAUCAAGUCACAUUUUAGUAUUAGAUGCAUCCGUAUCUAGACAAAUGUAAGACAAGAAUUUGGGACAGAGGGAGUACGAC